AUUUUUAAUAUAAUGUCAUGCCUUUUGGAUUCACAAAUACACUCGCUAUUGUAUUGCAUGGCAUUUGGCUUAAAAAUGCACCAGACACCUGACUGUGGAAGAUAAAAUAAAAAUUAUAAUAACAAGUCCUAACAACUCUAAUAGAUUUUUAAACAUAAUCAAACAUCAAUCAAAUUCAAUCAAAAUUUCAAAGAAAUUAUAUAAAAAAUAAAAAGUAUUUUUGGAGAUCCUUUAAAGAAUCAUAAAGAAAUAACAUAGAAAUUCAAAAAUAUACUAAAAUAAAGACUUUAAUAAAAUAUUAAAAUAGAAAUCUUAAUUAAAUUCUAACCAAAUUCUAAUCAAAUCUUAAUAAAUUCUAACCAAAUCUCAAAUAAAUCUUAACCAAAUCCUAAAUAAAUCCUAACCAAAUUCUAAACAAAUUCUAAGAAAAUCCUAAACAAAUCCUAACAAAUCCUAGCCAAAUUCUAAUCAAAUCCUAAAUAAAUCUUAACCAAAUCCUAAUUAAAUUCUAAACAAACCUUAAUCAAGUCCUAAUUAAAUCUUAAACAAAUCUUAAAAAAAUUCUAAAUAAAUCUUUACCAAAUUUUAAACAAAUCUUAAAUAAAUUCUAAUCAAAUCCUAAAUAAAUCCUAGUCAAAUCCUAAUCAAAUCUUAACUAAAUCUUAAACAAAUCUUAAAUAAAUCUUAACAAAAUCCUAGUCAAAUCCUAACAAAUUCUAACCAAAUUCUAAUCAAAUCCUAAAAAAACCUUAAUCAAAUCCUAGUCAAGCUCUAAACAAAUCCUAACCAAAUCCUAACUAAAUCCUAAACAAUUCUAAGUAAAACCUCAACCAAAUCCUAACCAAAUCCUAACCAAAUUCUAAACAACACUUAAUAAAAUCUCAACCAAAGCCUAAUCAAAUCCUAAUGAAACCUUAAUCAAAUCCUAAUCGAUUUC
rnacentral:lncRNA from 1 species